AUGCUAAAAGUUGAUCUUGCUAAAGCUUUCGAUAGACUUGAAUGGGAUUAUAUUUCUGUUGCUUUAGCUCGUAAAGGUUUAAAUGCCCAUUUCAUUAAGUUGAUCCGUGCUUGCAUAGCUACUCCUACUUUUUCAGUUAUUAUCAAUGGGCAGCCUGGUAAAUUUAAGAUUUCCAGAGGUAUAAGACAAGGGUGUCCUCUCUCUCCCUCUCUUUUUAUCUUGGUUGUUAAUGAACUAUCCUUGGCUCUUCAAGAUGCCAUACAUAAUAACAGGCUUUCAGGUAUCUCUUUGAGUCCCCAAUGCCCUCCUAUACACUCCUUGAUGUUUGAAGAUGACCUAUUGGUGUGUGGUACAGCAACAAAGCAGGAAGCUGAAGUCAUCCUUCAGAUCAUAAAUCAUUUUUGUUCCCUUUCAGACCAAAUCCCAAAUUGGGCGAAGUCAGAAUUACUGUUGCUACUAAUGUUGAUUUACAGCUUAGGCAGGAAAUAA
rnacentral:rRNA from 1 species